GAGAAAGUCCCAAGAACUGCUAACUCUUGACCCCAUACAUAAUAAGUAUGGCUUUCUCA
rnacentral:tRNA from 1 species